CUUAUUUCCACAACCACAGAUUUGUGCCCAGCAGUCCCUUCAACCUUCGGGUUGUAAGGUUGAUUGCUGAGGCAGCUCGUUCGUCCUAUGGAGCCACCUGCCUUCACAGGCUUUCUAUGGUGUCAAUUUCCGAUCGACAGAUCUCAGAGCAAUCGGGCACCACGAAGCUUGAAUUCGCUGUAAAAGGCUUGAGCUCAGUGGACGGUGUUCCGAAGACGUCACAUUCCAAAUCCUUUCGCCGAGACCGUCGGUUGGUGAGGUUAAGGGCUAACCGUUUCGACUACAUUA
rnacentral:sRNA from 1 species